AUUGAACGCUGGCGGCAGGCCUAACACAUGCAAGUCGAGCGGAUGAAGGGAGCUUGCUCCUGGAUUCAGCGGCGGACGGGUGAGUAAUGCCUAGGAAUCUGCCUGGUAGUGGGGGAUAACGUCCGGAAACGGGCGCUAAUACCGCAUACGUCCUGAGGGAGAAAGUGGGGGAUCUUCGGACCUCACGCUAUCAGAUGAGCCUAGGUCGGAUUAGCUAGUUGGUGGGGUAAAGGCCUACCAAGGCGACGAUCCGUAACUGGUCUGAGAGGAUGAUCAGUCACACUGGAACUGAGACACGGUCCAGACUCCUACGGGAGGCAGCAGUGGGGAAUAUUGGACAAUGGGCGAAAGCCUGAUCCAGCCAUGCCGCGUGUGUGAAGAAGGUCUUCGGAUUGUAAAGCACUUUAAGUUGUGAGGAAGGGCAGUAAGUUAAUACCUUGCUGUUUUGACGUUACCAACAGAAUAAGCACCGGCUAACUUCGUG
rnacentral:rRNA from 1 species